GACGAACGCUGGCGGCGUGCUUAACACAUGCAAGUCGAACGGAAAGGCCCUGCUUUUGUGGGGUGCUCGAGUGGCGAACGGGUGAGUAACACGUGAGUAACCUGCCCUUGACUUUGGGAUAACUUCAGGAAACUGGGGCUAAUACCGGAUAGGAGCUCCUGCUGCAUGGUGGGGGUUGGAAAGUUUCGGCGGUUGGGGAUGGACUCGCGGCUUAUCAGCUUGUUGGUGGGGUAGUGGCUUACCAAGGCUUUGACGGGUAGCCGGCCUGAGAGGGUGACCGGCCACAUUGGGACUGAGAUACGGCCCAGACUCCUACGGGAGGCAGCAGUGGGGAAUAUUGCACCAUGGGCGGAAGCCUGAUGCAGCCACGCCGCGUGCGGGAUGACGGCCUUCGGGUUGUAAACCGCUUUCGCCUGUGACGAAGCGUGAGUGACGGUAAUGGGUAAAGAAGCACCGGCUAACUACGUG
rnacentral:rRNA from 1 species